rnacentral:rRNA from 1 species
GACGAACGCUGGCGGCGUGCUUAACACAUGCAAGUCGAACGGAAAGGCCCUGCUUUUGUGGGGUGCUCGAGUGGCGAACGGGUGAGUAACACGUGAGUAACCUGCCCUUGACUUUGGGAUAACUUCAGGAAACUGUGGCUAAUACCGGAUAGGAGCUCCUGCUGCAUGGUGGGGGUUGGAAAGUUUCGGCGGUUGGGGAUGGACUCGCGGCUUAUCAGCUUGUUGGUGGGGUAGUGGCUUACCAAGGCUUUGACGGGUAGCCGGCCUGAGAGGGUGACCGGCCAAAUUGGGAAUGAGAGACGGCCCAGACGCCUACGGGAGGAAGCAGUGGGGAAUAUUGCACAAUGGGCGGAAGCCUGAUGCAGCAACGCCGAGUGCGGGAUGACGGCCUUCGGGUGGUAAACCGCUUUCGCCUGUGACGAAGCGUGAGUGACGGUAAUGGGUAAAGAAGCACCGGCUAACUACGU